AACGCACAUUGCGCCCUCUGGUAUUCCGGAGGGCAUGCCUGUUUGAGAAUCAUUAAUCACCAAAUCCUUUCUGAUGUUGUUUUCUACCGUCUUUGGUGGCAAACCCCAGGGAAAGGGAGUUGAGGUCUCCACAAAAAGACCUCCAAAUUCAUGUCACACCGGCCGCCCAGAACAACUGCGCGUACUAGUUAAAUGAAAUAUUUUUUUCCUUGUUUACGUGUUUUUUGUUUUUGGGGGUUCCCGAAAGGAGGACUUUGCGCUUGCGUGAAAACAAACAAACAACCCAAACUGUGAUCUCAAAUCAGGUAGGAGAACCCGCUGAACUUAA
rnacentral:misc_RNA from 1 species